GUACAUUGUAAACAAGUACUUAGCAUCCGAUCUAAAAAUGCAACUCAGCAUCCGAUCUUGGUCUAUACUGGAAAAGCCUUUUUUUUAUAUAUCUGCUGGAAAAGCCGUCCAUCUAGUAGAACAAAGGUAGCAGUAGUAGUGGUAGUAGUAGUGGCCGUAGGCCACAGAGCAGACGUAGUCUGCACCGACCGUAGGUCGGUUACUACUACUACGUAGUAGUGGUAGUAGUGGCCGUGAGCCACAGUACUACGUAGUAGUAUUCACACUUCAUGGUGCGAUGGACGGCUUUUCUGUGGACGGCUUCUCCAUUUACACUAUUGAAGGACAUCAAAGCCCAUGAAAAUGAAGUAGAUGAUAUUGAUUUUAGCCCUGAUUGUCAAAAACGUUUCAAAAGAUGGAUGCGUGUUUGUCUGGAAUACCAAAGAUGGCAACAAGCUUUGUCAACUUGAAUGGACCCGUCCAGAAAAUGCAAAAUAGGGGAGAGUGGGGGCAAUUGAUACACUUUUUGGUUUUUUGUAUUUCUUGAAAAAAAAACUGACAAAUUUAAUAUAAAACUUAUAUAGAA